rnacentral:rRNA from 1 species
UCCUUCGGGAGGAAGAUGUAUAGACUUAGUGGCGGACGGGUGAGUAACGCGUGAGCAACCUGCCUACAAGAGGGGGACAACAGCUGGAAACGGCUGCUAAUACCGCAUAAGACCACACUUUCACAUGAAAGAGAGGUCAAAGAUUUAUCGCUUGUAGAUGGGCUCGCGUCCCAUUAGCUAGUUGGUGAGGUAACGGCCCACCAAGGCGACGAUGGGUAGCCGACCUGAGAGGGUGAUCGGCCACAUUGGAACUGAGACACGGUCCAAACUCC